AAGUCGUAACAAGGUUUCCGUAGGUGAACCUGCGGAAGGAUCAUUAAUAAAUGCUUCAUUGCAUCCACCUUUUGUGCACUGUAAAUAUUUCACUUGAAUUUUGUCUGAUUAAUCUUUGUUCUGAAAGGAACAUGAAUUAUAAUCUAAUACAACUUUUAACAAUGGAUCUCUUGGCUCUC
rnacentral:misc_RNA from 1 species